AGACCCGAAACCCGGUGAUCUAGCCAUGGGCAGGUUGAAGGUUGGGUAACACUAACUGGAGGACCGAACCGACUAAUGUUGAAAAAUUAGCGGAUGACCUGUGGCUGGGGGUGAAAGGCCAAUCAAACCGGGAGAUAGCUGGUUCUCCCCGAAAGCUAUUUAGGUAGCGCCUCGUGAAUUCAUCUCCGGGGGUAGAGCACUGUUUCGGCUAGGGGGCCAUCCCGGCUUACCAACCCGAUGCAAACUGCGAAUACCGGAGAAUGUUAUCACGGGAGACACACGGCGGGUGCUAACGUCCGUCGUGAAGAGGGAAACAACCCAGACCGCCAGCUAAGGUCCCAAAGUCAUGGUUAAGUGGGAAACGAUGUGGGAAGGCCCAGACAGCCAGGAUGUUGGCUUAGAAGCAGCCAUCAUUUAAAGAAAGCGUAAUAGCUCACUGGUCGAGUCGGCCUGCGCGGAAGAUGUAACGGGGCUAAACCAUGCACCGAAGCUGCGGCAGCGAACGUAUCACCCAAGACAACUUUACGGAGUUGACGAUUGACGGAGCGAAGCGACGUCAAAGCGUUCAUUAAAGUCGAGUUGGCUUAGGGAUACGUUCGUUGGGUAGGGGAGCGUUCUGUAAGCCUGUGAAGGUGUGUCGUGAGGCAUGCUGGAGGUAUCAGAAGUGCGAAUGCUGACAUAAGUAACGAUAAA
rnacentral:rRNA from 3 species